UUGCGGAGUUCCAACAAGAUGUGUGAAAGUGUAGUUAUAAAAACCCUUGGUAGCGUUUUUACCGGGUUGUACUUUCUGGCUGGAUGUAUUGCUGCGGAGCAAGUUGGUGGCGGGGCGUCUCGACUACUGCAUAGGAUCAAAAAGAGGUUUGUGUUGUUUUGAAACUUGAGUU